rnacentral:rRNA from 1 species
CCUACGGGAGGCUGCAGUCGAGAAUCUUUCGCAAUGGGGGCAACCCUGACGACGCGACGCCGCGUGGAGGAUGAAGGUCUUCGGAUUGUAAACUCCUGUCAGCAGGGGAAAAGAAGCUAUCGACUAAUAAGCGGUAGCCUUGAUAGUACCUGCAGAGGAAGCCACGGCUAACUCUGUGCCAGCAGCCGCGGUAAUACAGAGGUGGCAAGCGUUGUUCGGAUUUAUUGGGCGUAAAGGGUCCGUAGGCGGCCUAGAAAGUCGGAUGUGAAAUCCCACAGCUUAACUGUGGAACUGCAUUCGAAACUUCUAGGCUCGAGUGUGAGAGGGGUAAAGGGAAUUCCCGGUGUAAGGGUGAAAUCUGCAGAGAUCGGGAGGAACACCAGUCGCGAAGGCGCUUUACUGGAUCACUACUGACGCUGAGGGACGAAAGCCAGGGGAGCAAACGGGAUUAGAUACCCGGGUAGUC